CCUACGGGAGGCUGCAGUGGGGAAUAUUGGACAAUGGGCGAAAGCCUGAUCCAGCCAUGCCGCGUGUGUGAAGAAGGCCUUCGGGUUGUAAAGCACUUUCAGUGGGGAAGAAAGCCUUGGGGCUAAUACCCUCGAGGAAGGACAUCACCCACAGAAGAAGCACCGGCUAACUCCGUGCCAGCAGCCGCGGUAAUACGGAGGGUGCGAGCGUUAAUCGGAAUUACUGGGCGUAAAGCGCGCGUAGGCGGUCUGAUAAGCCGGUUGUGAAAGCCCCGGGCUCAACCUGGGAACGGCAUCCGGAACUGUCAGGCUAGAGUGCAGGAGAGGAAGGUAGAAUUCCCGGUGUAGCGGUGAAAUGCGUAGAGUUCGGGAGGAAUACCAGUGGCGAAGGCGGCCUUCUGGACUGACACUGACGCUGAGGUGCGAAAGCGUGGGUAGCAAACAGGAUUAGAUACCCUGGUAGUC
rnacentral:rRNA from 1 species